GAACAAACACGGAUGAAUCGGAAUGGGUGUGCAGAAGCCGGCAUGGAAGAAGAUCAAUGCUCGUUGGAGUUUUCUAUUGAGACUGACAAUGAGGUGGCCUCUGGAGACUCUGUAAAAAUUGCUCAGUUGACCAAGGCUUAACCCUAGAGGCUAAGAUUCAACAGAAAAAACCCUACAGAAGAGCUUCUUCCAGAGGGUGAAUGAUGCUCACGAACAACCACACAAAGCCAUAGGAUAGAAAGAGAACUGUCUUCUUUCUGCUCUUGUACACCCUUGGCUCCAUGCCCCACACACAGUCUGUGCCCCAUCCUUCCAGGGAGGAAAUCAGCAGCUUGUGAAAUCAAUCCCACCCGGACAGGGUGCCCUGUCACUGAAUGCCGAUGCCUAAGAGCCUCCUAGUCCAAAGACAGGGCUGGUGACUCAGCAGUCACACAAAUGCAAGGACUUUCUGCUCUGCAGGCCCUGCCUCACAUCCUCAGUGACUUCCACAGAGAAGGGCUACGGGUCGGUCCCAUCUGAGGGUGACAUUGUCUCCUUUGCCCUAGGGGACAUUUGCCCAUGUCUAGAGACAUUAUUGGUGGUCAAAAAUGAAGGAGUUCUGGGCUGA